AUUUCGCUUGUAGCUGACAAACAUCGUAUGAGCAGAAACAAGUUUACCAGGCUCCAUGGACCGAGGUCGAGGUCAUAGUAACGUUUCUCGCGCUAUAUUUCCGUCCGUACGAUGCCGUGAUUCUUAGGAAGGGAACAUGCAGUUGAGGACGUCAUGCGAAUCGAAUGCGUAACUUGCAUAACCAUCUGAUAGUUUUCUAAGCGACGUGAAGCAUACAGAAAACUAAGGUUUCUGUGAAUUUGGAGUGCCACUGUACGAUGUACGGACUGGCGUGGAUAUGUGUCGCCGCGAG
rnacentral:lncRNA from 1 species